rnacentral:rRNA from 1 species
AUGAAUCUCCUCAGUAGGAACUGCCGAGGGGGUGGGAACUCUCGGACAGUUCGUGACCUUGUGAGUCUAGUGCAGGCUCACUCCCCGAGUAUCGUUUUUCUUUGUGGGACUAGGCAGUCUAAGAAUAAAAUGAAACGUCUUCGUGCUAGGUUAGGUUUGAGAGGUUUUGAUGCUUUUGAUUGUGUCGGUCGUAGUGGUGGUCUUGCUUUGUAUUGGCAUGAGUCUUUGAGUCUUCAUGUA